ACCGGUUUGAAACCCAGACUAGCCAGGCUCCUCCACCGCCCGCCGUCCCAGCGCCAACCAAUCAUGGCGUCCUCUUCCUUCGCCGGAGCGGCUAGUGUGACGUCACCCUAACAUUGGCCAAUUAAGAAUCGACUCCGACUUGAAGUUUGAAUCUGUGGAGACGAGAAUAUCGAGUUUUCAAAAAAUUGUUCCCAUGAAGGAACAUUGGAUGAAGUAUGAUUUUUCAUCAACGUAAAAUAGCUCAAAGGGAAUAGAUUGAAAAAUAAAACAGAGGGACCUCCUUGGUGGAUCAGUGGAUUAGAAUCCGCCUGCCAAUGCAGGGGACAUGGGUUCAAUCCCUGGUCUGAGAAGAUUCCACAUGACAUGCAGCAACUAAGCCUGUGCUCCACAGCUACCAAUCCAGUGCUCUUGGGCCCUCAAGCUCCAACUACUGAAGCCUGUAUGCCUAAAGCCUGUGCUCCAGAGCAAGAGAAGCCACUGUAAUGAGAAGCCUGUGCACUGAAAUGAAAAGUAGUCCCCACUCGCCAUAACUAGAGAAAGCCUGGCACAGCAAUGAAGACCCAGUGCAGCCAAAUAAAUAAAUAAAAAUGCCUAAAUGCAUAAAUAUUAAAAGAAAAUAAAACAAGAGAUAUUUAUAUUAAUAUUUGGAAGAGAACCAUAUUAGAUAUUUGGAAGACAUAGCCAUAUCCAGAAAUCCCAUGGAGCCCUGUCCUCUGGGAAAUACUUAGAAAAAAGAAAGACAUAUAUUUCUUGGAAAGGUUUGAGGUUAAGUUUUAAUUCUGAACCAAAACAAAGACUUCACAAAGGUCCUCCUUGCCAUUCUAAAACAGAGAUGAAAUGAAAAGUGAGUCCUAAAGCUUGGCCCCCUAUCAGCUGGAGAACAGAUUAGCAUUGAGACUUAGGUGCUUGAGCCCAGGUCCACCUGAGGGGAGAAGAUGUCAGACAGUGUUUACCCCUGGAAUUCUGUGACUUUCAGAAAGUGAAAUAAAUUGAAAGUCGCUCA